AACCCACGCUACCUAACCCUAAAUUGCUCUUUCCCUGUCCGUCCUCCUGUGUGCGGCGCCGCCGCUGCGCACAUCUCAGGCGAGUGCUUCCAACCCAUCUCCUCGCCCUCCUCCACAUCUCCGGCCAAGGCGCUCACUUCUCCGGCCCUCCUCCACAUCUCCUCGCCUCCACCCAUCCGCUUCUUGUCCUUUGGUUCUCCAAGACUGCAGUAUGGUGCUCGGCGGCUGCGACAGCGGAGCUGAUGGUGCGCCAGCCGACCAGUUGAAUGGAGGCAGUAGCAAGGGGCAGCGGCAACAACCUAGAGGGCGGAGGUUGAUUGGCAAGGUACGAAUGUUUCUUGAUGCCUUUAUAUCCUCCUACUUAAGCAACAAUUUGUCUCAUCCCUGGUACUUGCAUGCAGUUUUAAUUCUUCAACAAUUUCAGAUCGAUGUUACUUUGUUUCUUAGUUAUAAUAUGUACUGCGAUGUACUUGUGUUCCUUUAGAUUAAGGAGAGGCCCUGGUAAAUGGCUUGGCAAAUGCAUAUAUCAUACGGGGGUAAGAAAAGUUGAGUCUUGUUAAGUUGAACACAGUAGUGUAAUUAUUAAUCUGAAAUAUACAUGUAUCUUGUAGUCACCAAGGAUGCUCUAGAUCUGGUAAUAUUCGUUUUGGUCCAACAGAAAAGUGGAUUACAAACCUUGUUAUGAACAUCCUAAAAUAUAUAAUUGUUCCAUAUAUUUGUGCAGUGUGCUUAUUUUUGAGCUGUUGAGAUCAUGCUUGUGCGCAACAUUAAUUUUUUUUCUCAAGAACAGUUUAAUUUCAACAGAAAAGUAGAUGUUGACCGAUGAUUAAUUUCAAUCUUCAGAGGUACCAUUACGUGGUGGUUCUAGAACUAAGCAUCAUUCUAUCUUUCUCAAGAACAGAUUACAGUUUGUGACUUGUAUGUUUGGCAAACUAGAGCAUCGAGUUGUAUAUAAAUUACUUAUUCCUUAGUAUCUAAACUAGAGCAUCGGAUUGUAUAUUUUUUUGUUUAUUAUUAAUAUGAGGACUACCUAGUAAGCAAGGGUUGCUUUCUUAGUUACGUAAUCUUCAUAACUGACCGGUGUUCUUUUGUCAUUUGAUUUUCAGGUAAUGGAACUGCAAAUAGGAGUGGCAGCGGCAACCAUGAUGCAAGUGCAAGUGGUUCCCAAAGAUCUUGGAAAACUAUUUGGUAUUUGUUCGUAAAUUGGUUGAAGUUUUUUGGCGUGAGUGGACAUAACAGUACAUUGCGCUGUUCAUGUAGUGAGAUGAGGAUGAUCACAAUUCAGAGUAUUUGGGGACAAGGAAGAUGAUCCAUCAAUGCAAGAUCAGCAAGAGGCACAAAUGCAAGUGGAAAAAGAGACGCAAAUUCAAGUGGAAAUGGACGCAGCACCAAACGAUGGCAAUUUGGAGACCCGUAGAUCUGUACGGCUUGUCAAGAAGAAGACCAAGGACGUCAACAACCUAUACUUGUUGCUUAGAAAUCUGCGGGUAAGUCUCUUCUUUUUAGUGUUUUAUCAUUCAUGAUAAUUGCUUAGAAUAUUUUAGUUACUUGGAGCUGCUAGUUACUUAGAUGUAUGCACUUUCUAUCUAUGCCUAGCCUCAUUGACAUGUUAAGCAAUGUAUUUAUAUUAUCCUGAAAUGUUAC
rnacentral:lncRNA from 1 species